rnacentral:rRNA from 1 species
GACGAACGCUGGCGGCGUGCCUAAUACAUGCAAGUAGAACGCAGUUGCGAACGGGUGAGUAACGCGUAGGUAACUGCCUCAUAGCGGGGGAUAACUAUUGGAAACGAUAGCUAAUACCGGAUACUGUGAGAUGGACCGGCGUUGUAUUAGCUAGUUGGUGAGGUAAAGGCUCACCAAGGCGACGAUACAUAGCCGACCUGAGAGGGUGGUCGGCCACACUGGGACUGGGGCACGGCCCAUACUCCUGCCGGAGGCAACAGUAGGGAAUCUUCGGCAAUGGACGGAAGUCUGACCGUGCAACGCCGCGUGAGUGAAGGAGGUUUUCGGAUCGUAAAGCUCUGUUGUUAGAGAAGCGGUACCUAACCAGAAAGCGACGGCUAACUACGUGCCAGCAGCCGCGGUAAUAC